GGUCAGCAAUCUGUCGCCAUUCUCACUAAAGCACUGUCAAGGCAAUGCCUUUUCACCAUCUGGAGAAGAAAUUAAAAUGCAAAAACGUC